rnacentral:tRNA from 1 species
GCCCAGGUGGUGGAAUGGUAGACACGAGGGACUUAAAAUCCCUUGGUAGCAAUACCGUGCGGGUUCAAUUCCCGCUCUGGGUACAA